AUUGGACGCUGGCGGCAGGCUUAACACAUGCAAGUCGAGCGGGGGAGGUUGCUUAGGUAACUGACCUAGCGGCGGACGGGUGAGUAAUGCUUAGGAAUCUGCCUAUUAGUGGGGGACAACAUUCCGCACGGGAUGCUAAUACCGCAUACGCACUACGGGGGCAAGCAAGGGAUCUUAGGACCUUGCGCUAAUAGAUGAGCAUAAGUCGGAUUAGCUAGUUGGUGGGGUCAAGGCCUACCAAGGCGACGAUCUGUAGCGGGUCUGAGAGGCUGAUCCGUCACACUGGGACUGAGACACGGCCCAGGCUGCUACGGGAGGCAGCAGUGGGGAAUAUUGGCCAAUGGGCGGAAGCCUGAUCCAGCCAUGCCGCGUGUGUGAAGAAGGCCUUUUGGUUGUAAAGCACUUUAAGCGAGGAGGAGGCUACUAGUACUAAUACUACUGGAUUGUGGACGUUACUCGCAGAAUAAGCACCGGCUAACUCUUUGCCAGCCGCCGCCGUAAAAC
rnacentral:rRNA from 1 species